rnacentral:lncRNA from 1 species
GACAGAAGUGACCAGACCUGCUCCCUGCCCUGCACUGAAUGCGGUUUCCAGUCCAACUCCAACAUGGAUUUUCUUUUUUUUUUUGUGGUACCAGCGAUCGAACUCAAGACCUUGGGCUUGCGAGGCAGGCGCGGUGCUACUGAGCUAAAUCUCCGGCCCUGUCUAUUUUUUGAGAUAGGGUCUCACCAUGUGAUCCAGGCUGGCCUUGAACUCACUAUGUAAUCCAGGCUGUUCUUGAACUCAUAGUGAUCCUCCUGCCUCAGCCUCCCGAGUGCCGGGAUCACAGGCGUUCGCCACCACGCCUGGCUACACUGCUUCUCAAGAUGCUGUUUAUUGUUCGCCCACAGCUCCAGCUUCCUCUCUGUGCGGUCUUUGCCGAUGGCAAGAACAGACAGGCUUCUCGGGGCCUUCAAGGCGUGGGCACAGUGCGCUGGUGCUGUUUGCGUCUGCGCAGUGCCUCCCUGCGGCCCGACCGGAAGCCGCUGGGGUCUUGGGCACUUCUUGUGCGCCGCGGUCUCCCAAGGAAGACGGUGUUGCGUUGGCUUUAUUUAUCAUGGAGGAAAACGGGGCUUAGGAAUCAGAGUAGGGUUCGAUGGCGCAGGAGUGAGAACUAGGAAGCCAGUGACUCGGUUUCCCCGACAAUCCCUGCGCACUGCUGCCAAGGGGUCCCGAAGAGACCCGGCCAGCCCUGUCCUCCCAUCGUCCGGGCGCACUGAGGAGGCCCAGACACCGGAAGGAAUUGCACGAAGAUGGAAAUAACAAUCCUCGUGAGCUGCCACGUGAGACCACUGUUACUGCACGUUCACGUCCUCCCUGAGAAACUUCGGAAGAGAAAUCUGGACGCUCCAGGAGCCGCUGUUUACCCAGAGGGAUUUACAGAUGAGAGUUUGCCUUAAGUCUCAGAGGAGAUUUUGGAUUUGGAAUUUUGAGCAGUGCUGGAACUGUUGAGACUUUGGGGAGAACAACAUGUUUUCAGUUGUAGCUGGGAUUUACAAUUUAGAGAAAGCCAAAUUUGAAGAAGUUGAUCUUUCCUGCUUACACUGGUUAGAUUUUGGAAAUCUGGAAAUGGAGCCAUUGGCAUUUCAAGAAAGUUCUGUCUGGAAAAAUAAAUUCUGUGACUUGUGUGCAACCCUUGAGAAGAUAGAGAACAUGGAAUGUGAGGGAGAACAAAGGACUGCAGGUGGUAGCUCUGAAAAUGAAAUCCUUAAAGUGUGGAAUUCCGUGCCGAAUAAUUGUAAGUCAAUGAAAGCACUUGGGAUUGCUUUUCUUACUUUGUUUGGAACAUCUCAUGUUUGUGAGCAGUUGUGUUCAGUUUUGAAUUCUAUCAAAUAUGAUACAGGAAACAGACUGACUGAUGAUGACCUGAGUCUGCAUGUGUUGCUCUCAAGCUAGCAAAGUGUGAGCCAAGGUUGACAGAUUAUCAGAUGCAUAGGACAGCAAGAUCACAUUAAUGGUGCAAAAGCAUGCCAAAUGCAAACUUUUACCUUUCAAUAAAAAAGCUGUUUGUAUUGUUGAAAGCUCUGCUAUUACGUUUUUCUUUUAAAAC